AGAAUCAACGCUGGCGGCGUGCCUAACACAUGCAAGUCGCACGAGAAAGGGUAGCAAUACCUGAGUACAGUGGCGCACGGGUGAGUAACACGUGAAUAAUCUACCUCCGAGUGGGGAAUAACUGAGAGAAAUCUUAGCUAAUACCGCAUAAUACCCACGGGUCAAAGCAGCAAUGCGCUUGGAGAGGAGUUCGCGGCAGAUUAGUUAGUUGGCGGGGUAAUGGCCCACCAAGACGAUGAUCUGUAUCCGGCCUGAGAGGGCGCACGGACACACUGGAACUGAAACACGGUCCAGACUCCUACGGGAGGCAGCAGUGGGGGAAUUUUGCGCAAUGGGGGAAACCCUGACGCAGCAACGCCGCGUGGAGGAUGAAGCCCCUUGGGGUGUAAACUCCUUUCGAUCGGGAAGAUAAUGACGGUACCGAUAUAAGAAGCCCCGGCUAACUUCGCGCCAGCAGCCGC
rnacentral:rRNA from 1 species